AUGACAGUACAUUUUCCCUGGUGGAUUGAUUUCAGGCAGCAGUCAGUGAUGAUACGGAAACCUCACUCUUUGGCCUGCCCUCCUUGCUCCACUGAGUCUCCUGCUGGGCCUUUCUAUCUGCUUUUUCUACCAGUGGGGCUAUACCAGAGUAUCCAGUUUUAUAUGUAUCUGAAUCUCCUUCUUGCAAAGAACCAGGUGAGCCCAUUAAGGGUGCCAUCUGUUUGGAUCUUCAUUUACUCAUUCAUCAAUAUUUACCCAAUUGAGCAUCUACUAUGUGCCAGGAAGUCUGUUAGGUGCUGGGAAUGCGGUAGUAAACAAGACAGACACAGUCUCUGCUUUAAUAUGGAUUGCAGUUUAACAAGGGAGGCAGUUUAAUUNNNNNNNNNNNNNNNNNNNNNNNNNNNNNAUAUAAUAGGGGAGCCAAUUAUAAUUAUAAUAAGGGUUACAGAGGGAAGCAAUAUAAAGAAAAAUACAGACCAGUGCUUUUGAAACUAGAGCUACAACUCAUUAGUGGAACAUGAAAUCAAUCUUGUGAGACAAGAGCAGCAUGUCUUUAUUUAAUGGGAUGAACUGGGAUGGAAAGAAACCAAAAAGGAAAUCCUUGAGUAUAUAUAUUACCUAUAAUUAGAAGUAUUGCUUCAAAAAUCAACACACAGAUGAAUGCUGGGAUGAAAUGGGGAAAAAAUGUAUUUCCUCCUGUGGGUCAUGGUGGAAAAGUUUUCAGGUCACUGAUUUAGACACACCAUACAUAUUAGAAAUGUGUUAGUCACUAAGUCAUGUCAACUCUUUUGCAACCCCACGGACUGUAGCCCUCCAGGCUCUUCUGUCCAUGGAAUUCUCCAGGCAAGAGNNNNNUGGAGUGGGUAGCCAUUCCCUUCUCCAGGAGAUCUUCCUGACCCAGGGACUGAACCUCAGUCUCCCACACUGCAGGCAUAUUUUUUAUCAUCUGAACCACCAAGGAACUCCCUGUAGACUUAGCAGGUUGCUUAUUAUUGCCUGUUCCAACCACAGCUAACACACUCAAAUCUACAUGACCAUCGUCAUCAUUCUUGAAUGUGUCUGAUUAGUCAGGAAGGGAACCCUGAGCUAAGUCAAGCCAGUGUAUUACUAAUAAUCGAUCAGAUUCAUCUGUAUGGAAUUUGGAACUGAGGCACUGGAACUCAAUCAAACCUGCCUGAUAUAGGCACUGGAGCUAACAGAUCAUGUAAAAUCAUAGCUGAGAUGGCCAUAUGGGUCCCUCCCUGCACAAGAUGAAUAAGCACAGAAAGUCAACUCAGAGAGAAGAGAAGAGAAAAAACAUGCAGAGAGAAGGAAAGACAGAACAAGGAAGCUCAUCUUGACCUCAGGUUUAGAAACUCAAUUUGGCUUAUUUACUCUUCUCAGAUUCCACAAGCUCUUUGUAUUUUUCAGUGAAUAAUUUUCACUUGAGUUAUUUGAAUCAGUUAGUUUUUUACAGCUAAGAGUCUUUCCUGGGAAAAAAAAAGUGAUUUAUGUUAAAUUUUGAUUCUUAUUGAUGUCAAUUAUGAUAAUAUAUUCACCCAAAAAUGGGUAGACUAUCAUUUAUUUAAAAAGAGACCAGAGGGGGAAAAAACUAGUCAUUCAAUCAAAGAAACUUUACAAACAAGUCCUCAAUCAUUUUUGCUCUAAUAUCUAGAUUGAGGGUUUCAGCCUUUAGAACUGGAUCCUUCCAUAAUAAAUGAUUUCCUACAUUGGUUUCACAGUAUUCGCAGCAGGACAGUGAUCCAUUUUUAGAUACAGAGCAGAGAAACUGGCUCCCUUCCAGGUCACUCCUAUGUUAAUGACAUAUCCACAAUAAUCUGAAGGAACUAAACUGAGAUACGCAGUGUUUGCUUACCACAGAGUCUGUCUGUUGCCUUUAAUGUUAAGGGCACAAUAGCUCAAAAAUGAAGAUGCCACUGAUAGAUGACACCCUUGUGUUCAUUCACUUCCAGCUUUGUUUGCUUCUUGAACUUGAUUACAACUGACAGCCACUGAGGAAUAUAAACACAUCCAUGCUCCCUUUAGUCAUUCAGGCACAUAAUGAGCUUCAACAAAACACAGAGGAAUUGAAGAAUCUGCCUUACCCAGAGAGUGCCCUUGAAAUGAAGCCUCACCUGUUAUUAGAACAAAAUGUUAUCCACAUUAAGAGGAUAGUCAUAAAUGUGUUCACUGCAGCUAAGACUUCAUUUAGACUUAUCCUAUUUUCCCCGUGCUUAUGGAAUGUAAACUCAAAGACAUCAAAUCUGUUAAGUAAAACACACAAAAAAUGCUUUCUCUUAAGGUGAGGGUUGGGUGGGAGUGUUGGUUAGCCCCACAUUAGAAAAGAUAAAUUUUUCAAGAUGGCUUCUGGAAAUAGCUUCUUAUCAACCUAAAAGAAAGCAAGGAAUAUAAGGGCACAAAAUAGAGAAUACAAAACUGUAAGAAAGAAGAAAAGUCAAUCUGGACAAAAAGUUGCGUCCUGACAGACUAAACAAUUGCAUUAGAGUCUGACUAGAUGGGCCCUGAUGCUCAAAUGACUGAGGCUGGUCGUGUCUCUCUCAAGGCAGUCAAUUCCCUCCGCAUACUCAGACUAGAUUCCAACCCCUAUCAACAAUCUUACUAACCCAUGUGGGCUGCUAAAAGAAAGUAAAGCCCAAUGCUGCCAUCAAAAAGUAACUAAACUCCAUUGCUGCUCUGUAAAUAAAUUCUUCAGAACCAUUCUUCUAGAUUCCAUAUAUGUGCGUUAGAAUACAAUCUUUCUCUUUCUCUUUCUGAUUCACUCACUCUGUAUAACAGGCUCUAGCUUCAUCCACCUCAUCAGAACUGACUCAAAUGUGUUCCUUUUUAUGGCUGA
ensembl:lncRNA